rnacentral:rRNA from 1 species
AGAGUUUGAUCAUGGCUCAGGAUGAACGCUAGCUACAGGCUUAACACAUGCAAGUCGAGGGGCAGCGUGAUUGAAGCUUGCUUCAAUUGAUGGCGACCGGCGCACGGGUGAGUAACGCGUAUCCAACCUUCCGUACACUCAGGGAUAGCCUUUCGAAAGAAAGAUUAAUACCUGAUGGUAUGAUGAGAUUGCAUGAUAGCAUCAUUAAAGAUUUAUCGGUGUACGAUGGGGAUGCGUUCCAUUAGGUAGUAGGCGGGGUAAUGGCCCACCUAGCCGACGAUGGAUAGGGGUUCUGAGAGGAAGGUCCCCCANAUUGGAACUGAGACACGGUCCAAACUCCUACGGGAGGCA